GCAGCCGCGGUAAUACGUAGGUUGGCAAGUGUUGUCCGGAAUUAUUGGGCGUAAAGGGCUCGCAGGCGGUUUCUUAAGUUGAUGUGAAAGCCCCCGGCUCAACCGGGGAGGGUCAUUGGAAACUGGGAACUUGAGUGCAGAAGAGGAGAGUGUAAUUCCACGGUAGCGGUAAAGGGUAGAGAUGUGGAGGAACACCAGUGGCGAAGGCGACUCUCUGGUCUGUAACUGACGCUGAGGAGCGAAAGCGUGGGGAGCGAACAGGAUUAGAUACCCUGGUAGUCCACGCCGUAAACGAUGAGUGCUAAGUGUUAGGGGGUUUCCGCCCCUUAGUGCUGCAGCUAACGCAUUAAGCACUCCGCCUGGGGAGUACGGUCGCAAGACUGAAACUCAAAGGAAUUGACGGGGGCCCGCACAAGCGGUGGAGCAUGUGGUUUAAUUCGAAGCAACGCGAAGAACCUUACCAGGUUCUUGACAUCCUCUGACAAUCCUGGAGAGAUAGGACGAUCUCUCCUUCGGGGGCAGAGUGACAGGUGGUGCAUGGUUGUCGUCAGCUCGUGUCGUGAGAUGUUGGGUUAAGUCCCGCAACGAGCGCAACCCUUGAUCUUAGUUGCCAGCAUUCAGUUGGGCACUCUAAGGUGACUGCCGGUGACAAACCGGAGGAAGGUGGGGAUGACGUCAAAUCAUCAUGCCCCUUAUGACCUGGGCUACACACGUGCUACAAUGGRCAGAACAAAGGGCAGCGAAACCGCGAGGUUAAGCCAAUCCCACAAAUCUGUUCUCAGUUCGGAUCGCAGUCUGCAACUCGACUGCGUGAAGCUGGAAUCGCUAGUAAUCGCGGAUCAGC
rnacentral:rRNA from 1 species